rnacentral:rRNA from 1 species
UGGGGAAUUUUGGACAAUGGGCGCAAGCCUGAUCCAGCCAUGCCGCGUGCGGGAAGAAGGCCUUCGGGUUGUAAACCGCUUUUGUCAGGGAAGAAAUCUUCUGAGUUAAUACCUCGGGAGGAUGACGGUACCUGAAGAAUAAGCACCGGCUAACUACGUGCCAGCAGCCGCGGUAAUACGUAGGGUGCAAGCGUUAAUCGGAAUUACUGGGCGUAAAGCGUGCGCAGGCGGUUUUGUAAGACAGAGGUGAAAUCCCCGGGCUCAACCUGGGAACUGCCUUUGUGACUGCAAGGCUUGAGUGCGGCAGAGGGGGGAUGGGAAUUCCGCGUGUAGCAGUGAAAUGCGUAGAUAUGCGGAGGAACACCGAUGGCGAAGGCAAUCCCCUGGGCCUGCACUGACGCUCAUGCACGAAAGCGUGGGGAGCAAAACAGGAUUAGAUACCCUGGUAGCCCACGCCCUAAAACGAUGUCAAACUGGUUGUUGGGAAGGUUCCUUCUCAGUAACGUAGCUAACGC